GCUGAACUUAAGCAUAUCAAUAAGCGGAGGAAAAGAAACCAACAGGGAUUACCUCAGUAACGGCGAGUGAAGCGGUAACAGCUCAAAUUUGAAAUCUGGCUCUUUUAGGGUCCGAGUUGUAAUUUGUAGAAGAUGCUUUGGGCGUGGCUCCGGUCUAAGUUCCUUGGAACAGGACGUCACAGAGGGUGAGAAUCCCGUACGUGACUGGUUGCCUUCGUCCGUGUAAAGCUCUUUCGACGAGUCGAGUUGUUUGGGAAUGCAGCUCAAAAUGGGUGGUAUAUUUCAUCUAAAGCUAAAUAUUGGCCAGAGACCGAUAGCGCACAAGUAGAGUGAUCGAAAGAUGAAAAGCACUUUGGAAAGAGAGUUAAACAGUACGUGAAAUUGUUGAAAGGGAAGCGCUUGCAACCAGACUUGCACGUAGUUGAUCAUCCGAGGUUUUCCCCGGUGCACUCGAUUGCGUUCAGGCCAGCAUCGGUUUGGGUGGUUGGAUAAAGGCCUUGGGAAUGUAGCUCCUCUCGGGGAGUGUUAUAGCCCUCGGUGCAAUGCAGCCUAUCCGGACCGAGGACCGCGCUUCGGCUAGGAUGAGGCGUAAUGUG
rnacentral:rRNA from 1 species